UACAGAGGUCCCAAGCGUUACUGAGAAUCACUGGGUUUAAAGGGUGCGUAGGUGGUCCGUUAAGUCAGUUGUGAAAUCCCCGGGCUCAACCCGGGAACUGCUUCUGAUACUGGCGGACUUGAGGCCAGUAGGGGUCACUAGAACUGACGGUGGAGCGGUGAAAUGCGUAGAUAUCGUCAGGAAUGCCGGUGGUGAAGACGGGUGACUGGGCUGGUUCUGACACUGAGGCACGAAAGUGUGGGGAUCAAACAGG
rnacentral:rRNA from 1 species